GCUUAUAGAUGGAAAGUGUGUGCUCUACAUCCUGAACUAUCUCACCAUCCAUUCCUGAUUAUACACACACACACACACACACACACAUAUAUAUGUAUAUAUAUAUAUAUAUAUAUAUAUUUUUUUUUUUUUAACCAGAACUCUACUUAGCUCUGCUUUGUGGUGGUGCUAGGGAUUGAACCUGGGACCUUUGGUACUUUGGGCAUGAAAGUCUUCUUUCAUAACCAUUACACUCCUUAGCCCUCAUUUCUGAUUAUUCUUUAAACUUUGUGUCAGUAUGUAGCACUACUUCACAGCUUGUGAAGCUUUCCCCCUGUAUAUGAGGACUGAGGGCUUGAACCUGGGUACUUGUGUAUGGAAAUAUGUGUGCUCUACUAAGUGUAUCAUCAUCCAGUGCCUAAGCAUAAGUUUUCUUUCUUUUUUUUUACCAGAGCACGUCAUUUCUGGCAUAUGGUGGUGUGGGGGAUUGAACCUGGGAUCUUGGAGCCUUAGGGAUGAGAGUCUCUUUCCAUAACUAUUAUGCUAUACCUCCACUCUAUUUUUUUUAAAUGAAAGAUACAAGGAGAAACAGAGACCAGAACACUGAUUAAGUGGUGCUUCUGGGGACAUAAACUUUCUUAACAUCUAGAUAAACCCAAGAAUUUCUGCUUCUUCCAGUAGUAACUAUCUGCUUGGAACCUGUCUCCUUGCAUUAGGGGAAAGGUUGGAGAAUUACUCUGGGACCCAGCUUGUGUAAAGGACAAAGUACAUCAAGUCUUGCCCCCUUUUAGACUUGAAUGCACUGGAAAUGGGCCCACCCACACAAGCCAAAGGUUGGUGAUUGAACUUACAUCCUGGUCAAGCAGAGCUGGCAUUCACUGUCAUAUGUGACCCCAUCAGUACCACAGACAGGGCUGGACAUCUUGGAACAAUCUGGGUUCUCUGCCAUGUGCUCACAGAUGGGCUGUGGAGGAAAGGAAAAGCACAGCUAGGAUUCAGAGACAGCUGCAAUGGACCCAGGGGCUUGACUUGGAGCUAGAGGAGUCUCAGGGAGGAGCCAGAUUCAGGAAGGUUCCAGUGACUGUGAAACCAGUUGCUCAAUUCUCUCAGCAUGUUUGCUUGUAGGUAUGCACAUAGCAGGGGGUGUGCUUGUGUGUGCUGAACCCAUUCACUGUGGUCUGGGAUUUGACAUAGUGGCUAGAGUAGUGGACUUGGGAGCAUAAGGUUCCAAGUUCAGUCUCUGGUAUCACAUGUGCCUCCCUCCCUUCUCAUGUUAAUAAAUAAAUCUUUAAAAAAUUAAAAUGCAGAACCCAUUCA